ensembl:misc_RNA Metazoa_SRP Metazoan signal recognition particle RNA
GCCAGGUGUGGUGGUGCACACCUGUAGUUCCAGCUACUCAGGAGGCUGAGGCAGAAGAAUCGCUUGAACCCAGGAAGUGGAGGUUGCAGUGGACCGGGAUCGCACCACUGCACUUCCAGCCUGGGUGACAGAGCGAGACUCUGUCUCAA